CAAAAGUUAUGUGCUGUGUGCCAGCAUCCUGGCAUUACUUCUGACAUUACCAUCCUCCUAAUUACUGUGAUCAUCAACUCUGCCUUCAGAGAGAGGACAGGAGGUGGAGAGGAAAGGAGAGAGGAGGGGUGGACAGAAGAGGAGAGAGCUGUGAGGAGAGAGAGAACCCACCUUCACCCUGAGAGUCUGUCUGUCUGUCUGUCUGUAGAGCAUCUUCCAUGCGUCUACCUGUGUCUCAUUCCAACAUCAACAUGAACUGUGAGCAGGACUUUGAAGAGGGGGGCAUGAACGUCACCCUCACGCUACGGCUCCUCAUGCACGGAAAGGAAGUCGGCAGCAUCAUUGGAAAGAAAGGAGAGACAGUGAAGAGAAUACGAGAAGAGG